AAGAAAGUAAUGAAGGGCGUAUGGGGAAUGCCUAGGCUCUUGGAGGCGACGAAGGACGUGGUAAGCUGCGAAAAGCUCCGGGGAUUUGCAAACAAGAAU
rfam:Alistipes sp. An31A An31A_contig_26, whole genome shotgun sequence.